UGUGUGUGUGUGUGUGUGUGUGUGUGUGUGUGUGUGUGUGUGUGUGUGUGUGUGUGUGUGUGUGUGUGUGUGUGUGUGUGUGUGUGUGUGUGUGUGUUUCUCAGGGGUGAGGACCUCUUUAUGGAGCAUAACUAAUGUAUUUCAGAGGGCUGGCUGCAGUGCAGAUAGAGACCAUGACAGAUAUCAUAGUAAACCGCCUGCUGGAACUAACAGCCUACAGGCCUACAGCACCAUUAGUCCUGAGAAUGGACCAUUUCAGACGCACAGAAGGCUUCACUGUGUUUCUCAAGGUGUUAGAGGUGACUGGAGGGGACAGAAGGCUUCACUGUGUUUCUCAAGGUGUUAGAGGUACCUGGAGGGGACAGAAGGCUUCACUGUGUUUCUCAAGGUGUUAGAGGUGACUGGAGGGGACAGAAGGCUUCACUGUGUUUCUCAAGGUGUUAGAGGUACCUGGAGGGGACAGAAGGCUUCACUGUGUUUCUCAAGGUGUUAGAGGUGACUGGAGGGGACAGAAGGCUUCACUGUGUUUCUCAAGGUGUUAGAGGUGACAGAAGGCUUCACUGUGUUUCUCAAGGUGUUAGAGGUGACUGGAGGGGACAGAAGGCUUCACUGUGUUUCUCAAGGUGUUAGAGGUGACUGGAGGGGGCAGAAGGCUUCACUGUGUUUCUCAAUGUGUUCGAGGUGACUGGAGGGGACAGAAGGCUUCACUGUGUUUCUCAAGGUGUUAGAGGUGACUGGAGGGGACAGAAGGCUUCACUGUGUUUCUCAAGGUGUUAGAGGUGACUGGAGGGGGCAGAAGGCUUCACUGUGUUUCUCAAGGUGUUAGAGGUGACUGGAGGGGACAGAAGGCUUCACUGUGUUUCUCAAGGUGUUAGAGGUGACUGGAGGGGACAGAAGGCUUCACUGUGUUUCUCAAGGUGUUAGAGGUGACUGGAGGGGACAGAAGGCUUCACUGUGUUUCUCAAGGUGUUAGAGGUGACUGGAGGGGACAGAAGGCUUCACUGUGUUUCUCAAGGUGUUAGAGGUGACUGGAGGGGACAGAAGGCUUCACUGUGUUUCUCAAGGUGUUAGAGGUGACUGGAGGGGACAGAAGGCUUCACUGUGUUUCUCAAGGUGUUAGAGGUGACUGGAGGGGACAGAAGGCUUCACUGUGUUUCUCAAGGUGUUAGAGGUGACAGAAGGCUUCACUGUGUUUCUCAAGGUGUUAGAGGUGACAGAAGGCUUCACUGUGUUUUUCAAGGUGUUAGAGGUGACUGGAGGGGACAGAAGGCUUCACUGUGUUUCUCAAGGUGUUAGAGGUGACUGGAGGGGACAGAAGGCUUCACUGUGUUUCUCAAGGUGUUAGAGGUGACUGGAGGGGACAGAAGGCUUCACUGUGUUUCUCAAGGUGUUAGAGGUGACUGGAGGGGACAGAAGGCUUCACUGUGUUUCUCAAGGUGUUAGAGGUGACUGGAGGGGACAGAAGGCUUCACUGUGUUUCUCAAGGUGUUAGAGGUGACUGGAGGGGACAGAAGGCUUCACUGACAAGGUGUUAGAGGUGACAGAAGGCUUCACUGUGUUUCUCAAGGUGUUAGAGGUGACUGGAGGGGACAGAAGGCUUCACUGUCAAGGUGUUAGAGGUGACUGGAGGGGACAGAAGGCUUCACUGACAAGGUGUUAGAGGUGACAGAAGGCUUCACUGUGUUUCUCAAGGUGUUAGAGGUGACUGGAGAGGACAGAAGGCUUCACUGACAAGGUGUUAGAGGUGACAGAAGGCUUCACUGUGUUUCUCAGGGUGUUAGAGGUGACUGGAGGGGACAGAAGGCUUCACUGUGUUUCUCAAGGUGUUAGAGGUGACUGGAGGGGACAGAAUGCUUCACUGUCAAGGUGUUAAAGGUGACAGAAUGCUUCACUGUGUUUCUCAAGGUGUUAGAGGUGACUGGAGGGGACAGAAGGCUUCACUGACAAGGUGUUAGAGGUGACAGAAGGCUUCACUGAGUUUCUCAAGGUUUUAUAGGUACCUGGAGGGGACAGAAGGCUUCACUAUGUUUCUCAAGGUGUUAGAGGUGACUGGAGGGGACAGAAGGCUUCACUGACAAGGUGUUAGAGGUGACAGAAUGCUUCACUAUGUUUCUCAAGGUGUUAGAGGUGACUGGAGGGGACAGAAGGCUUCACUGACAAGGUGUUAGAGAAGACAGAAGGCUUCACUGACAAGGUGUUAGAGGUGACAGAAGGCUUCACUGUGUUUCUCAAGGUGUUAGAGGUGACUGGAGGGGACAGAAGGCUUCACUGACAAGGUGUUAGAGGUGACAGAAUGCUUCACUGUGUUUCUCAAGGUGUUAGAGGUGACUGGAGGGGACAGAAGGCUUCACUGACAAGGUGUUAGAGGUGACAGAAGGCUUCACUGAGUUUCUCAAGGUGUUAGAGGUGACUGGAGGGGACAGAAGGCUUCACUGUGUUUCUCAAGGUGUUAGAGGUGACUGGAGGGGACAGAAGGCUUCACUGUGUUUCUCAAGGUGUUAGAGGUGACUGGAGGGGACAGAAGGCUUCACUGACAAGGUGUUAGAGGUGACAGAAGGCUUCACUGUGUUUCUCAAGGUGUUGGAGGUGACUGGAGGGGACAGCAGGUGUGGUCAGGUGUUAGAAAGAGAAGUUUAUCAGCUGAUUUACUUAACAAAAGGCACAUCUCAAUAGGUGGUCCAGGUAUCCUUAUGAUAUGGCACAAGUGGGGGUUGGCCUUUCCUCUUCUGUUCUCUAAUGCUCCUCUAUUGUUCCUCAAGCAAGGGAGGAGGCCGAUGACAUCACAACCUCCCAUCAGACCAACUCCUUGACGUUUGCAGUUGUGUGUUGUACCCUUUACUGUAUUCAUAUCACUUUCAACAGUAACAGUUCCAAAAUUGCUGGAGGACCAUCUUUAAGAAGAAAAGAAAGUCAUUUCAGUGUGGAAUUCAAACUUUGCAAAACAUUGUAUGUCUUCACAUGUAGACAGACUGUAAAUGGCCUGAGCAGGGGUGAGUUGGAUGAACAGGUAUUUUGUG